UACGUAGGGGGCAAGCGUUGUCCGGAAUCAUUGGGCGUAAAGCGCGCGCAGGCGGCCUUUUAAGUCUCGUGGUGAAAUGCCGGGGCUCAACCCCGUGCCCGCCGGAGAUACUGGGAGGCUGGAGACAUGUAGAGGCAAGCGGAAUUCCGGGUGUAGCGGUGGAAUGCGUAGAGAUCCGGAAGAACACCGGAGGCGAAGGCGGCUUGCUGGGCAUUGUCUGACGCUGAGGCGCGAAAGCGUGGGGAGCGAACAGG
rnacentral:rRNA from 1 species